rnacentral:lncRNA from 1 species
UCUUACCGAGACUUGUCAAAAAGGUCAUGAAAAAUAAUUGCUUAUGAAGAGGGUGAGAAUGAACACACAUAUUUAGAUAGUGGACAUGUGCAAGGGCAAAGAGUGAUCACGCGGCACAGAUGAAGUUCUCAUAAUCGGAUUGCACAUGGUUGAAAAAAUGAGUAUGAAAUAAUUGUUAAUCUUGAGAGCAGUUGGGAUCUUUACGAAGCUCAAAAAACUAAGGAGUACUUUUAUUUCUCUUUUUUCUUUUUCUCAUUUCUUUUUUUCUUCAUUUUUUUCUUUCUUUUUCCACAGUAUAUUUUUUUUUUGCUCCUCAGGACUCUUUGCAACAUAUUACUUACUCAGCACUAGUCAGAGAUAAUGAGAUGACUCUCCCCCCCAUGCUUAGAGGAUCCUCAUCCUGAAGCACAAAAGGAAGAAAGAUAAACUGCUGAAGUAAGUACCAAAAACUUUGAUCUUCUGGAAAAAAAAUUAUUUAAUUCCUCUAGAGGGACUUCCAUGCCAAAUUUCAGAGGCAACAAAGGGGGGAACAUGCUAGGCCGAUCGGCCUGGCCCCUUCUAACCUCUGUUUCCUUCGCUUUUUAUUCCACACACUGGUGGUUGCCUCCAAGUCUCAAUUUUCUUGAAAGGACACUGAUUAAUCAUUUGAAUCGUCAUUGAAAUAUUUCGCACACUCAUACUGUGUUGUGGUCAAGGAGGUAGUCACAAAAUGAUAUAUUUGGG